GAUGAACGCUGGCGGCGUGCCUAAUACAUGCAAGUCGAGCGAACAGACGAGGAGCUUGCUCCUCUGACGUUAGCGGCGGACGGGUGAGUAACACGUGGAUAACCUACCUAUAAGACUGGGAUAACUUCGGGAAACCGGCGCUAAUACCGGAUAAUAUAUUGAACCGCAUGGUUCAAUAGUGAAAGACGGUUUUGCUGUCACUUAUAGAUGGAUCCGCGCCGCAUUAGCUAGUUGGUAAGGUAACGGCUUACCAAGGCAACGCUGCGUAGCCGACCUGAGAGGGGGAUCGGCCACCCUGGAACUGAGCCGCGGUCCAGACUCCUACGGGAGGCAGCAGUAGGGAAUCUUCCGCAAUGGGCGAAAGCUUGACGGAGCAACGCCGCGUGAGUGAUGAAGGUCUUCGGAUCGUAAAACUCUGUUAUUGGGGAAGAACAAAUGUGUAAGUAACUAUGCACGUCUUGACGGUACCUAAUCAGAAAGCCACGGCUAACUACGUG
rnacentral:rRNA from 1 species